GAUGAACGCUGGCGGCGUGCCUAAUACAUGCAAGUCGAGCGAACAGACGAGGAGCUUGCUCCUCUGACGUUAGCGGCGGACGGGUGAGUAACACGUGGAUAACCUACCUAUAAGACUGGGAUAACUUCGGGAAACCGGAGCUAAUACCGGAUAACAUGUUGAACCGCAUGGUUCAACAGUGAAAGACGGUUUUGCUGUCACUUAUAGAUGGAUCCGCGUCGCAUUAGCUAGUUGGUAAGGUAACGGCUUACCAAGGCAACGAUGCGUAGCCGACCUGAGAGGGUGAUCGGCCACACUGGAACUGAGACACGGUCCAGACUCCUACGGGAGGCAGCAGUAGGGAAUCUUCCGCAAUGGGCGAAAGCCUGACGGAGCAACGCCGCGUGAGUGAAGAAGGUCUUUGGAUCGUAAAACUCUGUUAUUAGGGAAGAACAAAUGUGUAAGUAACUAUGCACGUCUUGACGGUACCUAAUCAGAAAGCCACGGCUAACUACGUG
rnacentral:rRNA from 1 species